UACGUAGGGACCAAGCGUUGUUCGGAUUUACUGGGCGUAAAGGGCGCGUAGGCGGCAUGACAAGUCACUUGUGAAAUCUCCGGGCUCAACUCGGAACGGCCAAGUGAUACUGUCGCGCUAGAGUGCAGAAGGGGCAAUCGGAAUUCUUGGUGUAGCGGUGAAAUGCGUAGAUAUCAAGAGGAACACCUGAGGUGAAGACGGGUUGCUGGGCUGACACUGACGCUGAGGCGCGAAAGCUAGGGUAGCAAACGGG
rnacentral:rRNA from 1 species